AACAAAAUUAAUGUUUGCGGAGCAAUAACUUCGGCCACAGGCGUGGAUCUGGUUUGAUGUGGCGAAGCUGGUGGAAAUUUCGGUCUGAUGUGUUUUGGUGCCCGAUGAAUAUUUUGACCAGAUAUGAUCAGCAGCAGCUACAGUUCUUUGUCCCAAUGAAUCUUCAGAAUUAAGCUGAUUUGAAGAAAAAUUACAGAAGAAAACAAAGAUUUAUUUUCAAUUCAGGACUCUCAGACUAAGACAUCCACAAAAACAGAAGAGUGCUAUUCUUGUGAAAGAAUGAAAGACAGUUAAAACUUUUGAAUCCCAAAGCACCCCCCACUCUCCCCUGCCACGCACAAACAGCAGCAAAGCAACAACCCUUCCCCAUCCCACCAAAGGAUUGGCUCGGAAGAUUCAGCAGAUGACUUGAAUAUGCAACUUGAAUAUGCUUUUAAUUCAAGAAACAGAGAUUGUAUCAGUUUGGCAGCUGACUUUCCAUCACCUUGCUCCUAAAAGGAAUAAUCUCUGUAAUGCUAAUAAUCUCUGUAGUGCAGUUCAAUAAAAUGAUUUAAC